rnacentral:rRNA from 1 species
UCGUGCCUACGGGGGGCAGCAGUGGGGGAUAUUGCACAAUGGGGGGAACCCUGAUGCAGCGACGCCGCGUGGGCGAUGGAGUGCUUCGGCAUGUAAAGCCCUAUCAGCAGGGAAGAAAAUGACGGUACCUGACUAAGAAGCCCCGGCUAACUCCGUGCCAGCAGCCGCGGUAAUACGGAGGAUGCGAGCGUUAUCCGGAUUUAUUGGGUUUAAAGGGUGCGCAAGCGGAGGCACAAGUCAGCGGUAAAAUCGCGGGGCUCAACCCCGCUCCGCCGUUGAAACUGUGUCCCUUGAGUGCGCGAAGG